rnacentral:tRNA from 1 species
CGUGGUCUCGUUCAGUUGGUAGAGUGCUUGCUUAACAUGCACAAAGCCCUGGGUUCAAAUCCCAGCACCACAU